GACGAACGCUGGCGGCGUGCUUAACACAUGCAAGUCGAACGGAAAGGCCCUGCUUGCAGGGUACUCGAGUGGCGAACGGGUGAGUAACACGUGGGUGAUCUGCCCUGCACUUCGGGAUAAGCUUGGGAAACUGGGUCUAAUACCGGAUAGGAGCCAUCUUUAGUGUGGUGGUUGGAAAGUUUUUUCGGUGUAGGAUGAGCUCGCGGCCUAUCAGCUUGUUGGUGGGGUAAUGGCCUACCAAGGCGGCGACGGGUAGCCGGCCUGAGAGGGUGUACGGCCACAUUGGGACUGAGAUACGGCCCAGACUCCUAUGGGAGGCAGCAGUGGGGAAUAUUGCACAAUGGGCGCAAGCCUGAUGCAGCGACGCCGCGUGGGGGAUGAAGGCCUUCGGGUUGUAAACUCCUUUCGCUAGGGACGAAGCUUUGUUGUGACGGUACCUAGAGAAGAAGCACCGGCUAACUACGUG
rnacentral:rRNA from 1 species